CUUCUGUCUUUUGAUUCGCUGUGCACGUUCUGCCCAUCUCCCUCUCUCUUUUGUCUCUAAACUAAAAACCGACCUCGAUAUACACAAAACCCAAACACCAUGAGCUACCACCGGCAACGCCCACCUCCGAGCCCCAACCCGAGCCAAACCCGGCCCAGUCUAGCCGCACCACCAUUAGAAUCCGGCCCAUACAACAUAAUCCCCAUCCAUAACCUCCUCGCGGAGCACCCAUCGCUCAGAUUCCCGGAGGUCCGAGUCAUUACCACCGCCCUCUGAGCUGUCGACGACCUCAGGGAGCCGCCACACAACCAAUGGGCCUCGCACAUGGACCUCCUGGACUGGUUCGCCCUCUUCUUCGGCUUCCAAAGCGACAACAUUCGCAACCAGUGCGAGCACCUCGUUCUCCACCUCGCCAACGCUCAGAUGCACCUCUCUCCUCCGCGGGACAACAUCGGCACCCUAGACGCUGCUGUUUUGCGCAAGAUUUUGUUUCAUGAGCAUAGUUAAAAGAAGAUUAAGCUAUUAGGGCAUUCGAUUUUUUAUGAAAAAAAUUGUUUCCGCGAUACUAUCAGUGUAUAACCAAAACACUAGAGCGAUACCAGCAAUCUUGCUUCGCUCCUCAGGAUAACAGCAUGGAACGUGAAGCACAGAAGGAUUAGGUGCAAACGGUAGGAUGGUUAAGGAAUUGAAGAAGUUACUUCCAUAUCUCAGGUCCUGCCUCAGUGCACACUGCAAUGUGAGUUGCAGUCAUUUUCUCUUAUACAACAUGCUUGAUUUUUGUAAAUGUAUGCCACGUGUAUUUGUUCUUUUUUGUUGUCUUCAUCAACUAUCAUUUCCAAUUCUAGCAAUUUGGAUUUUGGAGGUUAUGAAUAA